GACGAACGCUGGCGGCGUGCCUAAUACAUGCAAGUAGAACGAGUUGCGAACGGGUGAGUAAUGUCUGGGAAACUGCCCGAUGGAGGGGGAUAACUACUGGAAACGGUAGCUAAUACCGCAUACCAUCGGAUGUGCCCAGAUGGGAUUAGCUAGUAGGUGGGGUAACGGCUCACCUAGGCGACGAUCCCUAGCUGGGCUGAGAGGAUGACCAGCCACACUGGAACUGAGACACGGUCCAGACUCCUACGGGAGGCAGCAGUGGUGAAUAUUGCACAAUGGGCGCAAGCCUGAUGCAGCCAUGCCGAGUGUAUGAAGAAGGCCUUCGGGUUGUAAAGUACUUUCAGCGAGGAGGCGUUACCCGCAGAAGAAGCACCGGCUAACUACGUGCCAGCAGCCGCGGUAAUUC
rnacentral:rRNA from 1 species